UCUUUCUUUUGUAAAUUGCCCAGCUUCAGGGAUGGCUUUGUCAGCAGUGUGAAAACAGACUAAUACAAUCAUGUAUCAAUUGACUUAAAAUAUCUCUUUUAGCAUAUACUAAAUAAGUGGGUUAGUUUCUGGUCCUUAUUUACAGUACAUUGAUUUCACUGUUGUAUCUUAUAUUUUGCCUAAACUUGUGGGACUUCACCCUUCAAUAGAGUAGUUUAAGCAUUUACUGUCAGUCCUCUAUACCAGUGGGGGAUUGGUUCCAGGACCCCCAGGAUGCCAAAAUCCAAGCAUGCAUAAAAAAUGGCAUAGUAUUUGCAUAUCACCCACACACAUCCUACUGUGUCCUUAAAAUAAUUUCUACAUUACUUAUAAUAUCUAAUAUAAUGUAAAUGCUAUGUAAAUUUUUCUUAUACUGUUAUUUUUAUCUUUUUAAUUAUUGUAUUAUUAUUCUUUAUUGUUCAUGUCUGAAUAUUUUAAAUAUGAGGUUGGUUGAAUUUGCAGUUGUGAAACCUGUAGAUGCAGAGGGCCAACUAUACAUUUAAUGUAAUGAGUGUUAUUUUUUCUUUUAUUUCUGUAGUUUUGUACUUUAUUUUUAAUGUUCUCUUAUUUUUCCUUUACUUUUAAUUUUUUGUUGUAUGGGCUGUAAUUCCUUUUCGUAACCACCUUUUCCUCUAGUGACUUAGAACAGAUACAUUCUGUUUUUGCUUCAUUGCCAUCGAUAACCUAAUUGGCAAUAACAAGUGCAAAACACUCAUGAGUCCUCUUUAUAUAAAAUGAAGAAACUAACACUCUUAUUUAACUUCUUACUUUGCUCUGCCAUCUCCUAGGUUUUGGCUGACAGAUAACAUAGGGCAGUGAUCAAAGGGUUUACCUUCUCUGUGCCUCAGCUGCCCCAUCUCGAAAGUGGGCAUAAUAGUAUCAUAGGGUUAUUAUGAAAAUAAAAUGACAUAGUGCACAGGAUGCAUUUACAACAGUGCCUAGCACAUGGUAAGUCAGCAGUAACAUUGUAAUGAUCAGUAAGAUUGAAUACAUCCUUUAACUUUUUAAAUGAUAAUCAUUACUUUACAUCAUGAAACUUUUUAUUCAUUAAUUACUUUUACAGCCUUAUCUGGGGAAUUAUUUAGACUUUAUGUUUUACUUUAAUAGUUUUCUCACCUACUCUCAAUUCUUUCAUAUCAUAGUUUUCUAUGUGAGGACUCUUUAUUGUGAUCCAUCUACUAGUUGAUUGGAAUAUUUCUUUGGGUAAUUUUAGGUUAUACAUGUAUUAUAGUUAUAUUAAGUUUGUAAGGGCCAAGGGGAAAAAAAUAAUGACUUUUACAAAUUCAGUUGAUUUUUUCUUUCAUAAAAAAAUCAUUAGGCAGUCUGGAGCUGCUGUGGAAGUUUAGUUUCACAGUCAUCAGGAUGCCCAUCUUAUUUUCAUUUUCAUUCCUAAGUAACAAAAUGGCUGCUGCAGCGCCAUCUAUCACAUCUUCUUCCAUCCAGCAUGAAGGAAGAAAGCCCAAAGAAGAGGUUGGACCCUCCUAUUAAGGAAUCUUCCUAGAAGUCAUCCUCUCAGCUCUUAAUCUGGGUGUCUGGUUACCAGUUCAGAAGCCGAAUAACGAGAUAGGUGGGUGAUGCUUCAGCAAUUCAUCCUGGCAUUCUGGCAGGAUGAAUUCCUCUCUGCAGUUCUUCUCUCUAUCUGGCCAACUGCUGUAGUGACCACUGCCUGCUGCAAUAGGGAAUCUUGCUUUGGAGAGAAUCCUCUAUCCUGCCUCCAUUGCCUUUGCUGGUGCCUGGCUUCUGGCCCAAGUGUUCUGUCAAGGCCAGUUGUGAAUUCCACAUGUCUUCUUCUCAGGCACUGCCACUCCUUAUGCCUAGAGGCAGGGGUGGGGAGGAGGAGAAUGACUGUUUUGUGGAAACCCCCAACUCAGAACCGCACAGAUGCCCUGCAGUUCCACCUCUGCAUGGUAGCCAAAGAGAGUCCUCUAAAUGAAGCAAUCUCUUUGAGCCUCUCAGCAUCCCCGCACUUCCAGCAUCACUCAACCCAGAAACAAUAGAAUCUACAAGGGGACUCCCUACAUGUUUCUUAUGAGGUCAGAAUUGCCAUCCUGGAAAGGUGAGUUACAGUGCUGCCCAGGUGAUUCUUGUGUGUUACUCUAUGUUAUAUCUAUUGUAUAAUCUCACAUUUAAAUAGCACCAUUCCUUUUAUUGCAAUGCUUAUGAAAACUUUCCUUGUUUUUAGGUUUCCUUCGUCAGUCCAGGCAGGACUGUGCGGUUGGAAAAGGGACGGAUGCUGGUCCUGGAAGGGGCGUCGUUAUCUAGAAGCUCCCAACCUAAGUGGGUGACUCAUAGGGAGGGCAAGGAGAGAAGGACACAGCAAGCAACUUACAUGUAAAACAAGACGUGUGGGUUAUUAUGGAAGAAAUUCACAACCAAACUUGGGGUUAGCCCGUAUUGUUUUCCAAGAACUCUAUGUGGACAGUGACAAAAAACAGACCUAAGAACUAGCAGACUGGGCAAAGCUUUUUCACAUAACAACAACAAAAAAAGCAAUUCCUCAGGAAAAAAUGGUCAAUGGGUCAUUGUGUGUAGACAAAACUACAAGUUCUGCUCCAGACUCUGGGGAAACCAUGCUGCCAUCUUCAAGCUGUGGCCAUUCUGUAAUACAGACUACGCUAAAUCACAUGUUGUCAUCAAGGCAGAAUAUUUUGUUCCUUUAUGGGUCAGCCUGGGAUACAAAAUUAGAGAAACUUUGCAAUGAAAAAUCCCUUGUGUCUCAUUGAACUUUUUCCUUAAUUCAAACCUUUCCUUUCACAGUUUUGAUUAGUGCCUUUGCCCAUGUGGACAAUAUUUUAUGAUCAGGUUUUAAGAGUAAUCCAUCCAUGGCUGCUUGGCUGCCUGGAACUUAAAACAACGACAACAACAAUGUCCAGAUAAACCCAAUAAAAUAGGUUUUUAAAUGUG